rnacentral:rRNA from 1 species
GGAUGCGCAGCUAUACAUGCAGUCGAGCGGACAGAUGGGAGCUUGCUCCCUGAUGUUAGCGGCGGACGGGUGAGUAACACGUGGGUAACCUGCCUGUAAGACUGGGAUAACUCCGGGAAACCGGGGCUAAUACCGGAUGGUUGUUUGAACCGCAUGGUUCAAACAUAAAAGGUGGCUUCGGCUACCACUUACAGAUGGACCCGCGGCGCAUUAGCUAGUUGGUGAGGUAACGGCUCACCAAGGCAACGAUGCGUAGCCGACCUGAGAGGGUGAUCGGCCACACUGGGACUGAGACACGGCCCAGACUCCUACGGGAGGCAGCAGUAGGGAAUCUUCCGCAAUGGACGAAAGUCUGACGGAGCAACGCCGCGUGAGUGAUGAAGGUUUUCGGAUCGUAAAGCUCUGUUGUUAGGGAAGAACAAGUACCGUUCGAAUAGGGCGGUACCUUGACGGUACCUAACCAGAAAGCCACGGCUAACUACGUGCCAGCAGCCGCGGUAAUACGUAGGUGGCAAGCGUUGUCCGGAAUUAUUGGGCGUAAAGGGCUCGCAGGCGGUUUCUUAAGUCUGAUGUGAAAGCCCCCGGCUCAACCGGGGAGGGUCAUUGGAAACUGGGGAACUUGAGUGCAGAAGAGGAGAGUGGAAUUCCACGUGUAGCGGUGAAAUGCGUAGAGAUGUGGAGGAACACCAGUGGCGAAGGCGACUCUCUGGUCUGUAACUGACGCUGAGGAGCGAAAGCGUGGGGAGCGAACAGGAUUAGAUACCCUGGUAGUCCACGCCGUAAACGAUGAGUGCUAAGUGUUAGGGGGUUUCCGCCCCUUAGUGCUGCAGCUAACGCAUUAAGCACUCCGCCUGGGGAGUACGGUCGCAAGACUGAAACUCAAAGGAAUUGACGGGGGCCCGCACAAGCGGUGGAGCAUGUGGUUUAAUUCGAAGCAACGCGAAGAACCUUACCAGGUCUUGACAUCCUCUGACAAUCCUAGAGAUAGGACGUCCCCUUCGGGGGCAGAGUGACAGGUGGUUGCAUGGGUUGUUCGUCAGCUCGUUGUUCGUGAGAUGUUGGGUUAAGUUCCCCGCAACGAAGCGCAAACCCUUUGAUCCUUUAGUUUGCAGCCAUUCAGUUUGGGCACUUCUUAAGGUGACUUGCCGUUGAACAAACCCGGAGAAGGUGGGGAUGACGGUCCAAUUCAUCAUGGCCGUUAUGAACUUGGCUUAACCAACGUGUGCUAACAAAUGUGGACCAGAACCAAAAGGGCAGC